CCUACGGGAGGCAGCAGUGGGGAAUAUUGCACAAUGGGGGAAACCCUGAUGCAGCGACGCCGCGUGAAGGAAGAAGUAUUUCGGUAUGUAAACUUCUAUCAGCAGGGAAGAAAAUGACGGUACCUGACUAAGAAGCCCCGGCUAACUACGUGCCAGCAGCCGCGGUAAUACGUAGGGGGCAAGCGUUAUCCGGAUUUACUGGGUGUAAAGGGAGCGUAGGCGGUUUAGCAAGUCAGAAGUGAAAGCCCGGGGCUCAACUCCGGGACUGCUUUUGAAACUGCCGGGCUGGAGUGCAGGAGAGGUAAGCGGAAUUCCUAGUGUAGCGGUGAAAUGCGUAGAUAUUAGGAGGAACACCAGUGGCGAAGGCGGCUUACUGGACUGUAACUGACGUUGAGGCUCGAAAGCGUGGGGAGCAAACAGGAUUAGAUACCCCUGUAGUC
rnacentral:rRNA from 1 species